CCUAUGGGUGGCAGCAGUGGGGAAUAUUGCACAAUGGGGGAAACCCUGAUGCAGCGACGCCGCGUGAGUGAAGAAGUAUUUCGGUAUGUAAAGCUCUAUCAGCAGGGAAGAAAAUGACGGUACCUGACUAAGAAGCCCCGGAUAACUACGUGACAGCAGCCGCGGUAAUACGUAGGGGGCAAACGUUAUCCGGAUUUACUGGGUGUAAAGGGGGCGGAGACGGUAAUGCAAGCCAGGAGGGAAAGCCCGGGGUCCAACCGCGGGAAUUCUCUUGAAACUGCAUGGCUUGAGUACAGGAGGGGCAGGCGGAAUUCCUAGUGUAGCGGUGAAAUGCGUAGAGAUUAGGAGGAACACCGGUGGCGAAGGCGGCUUGCUGGACUGUGACUGACGUUGAGGCCCGAAGGCGUGGGGAGCAAACAGGAUUAGAUACCCGGGUAGUC
rnacentral:rRNA from 1 species